CUGUGGCUAACUCCUAAGCACAGUGAUGCAAUUCUGUCUGGAGAUACCGACUGGCCUCACAUCCAAGCAGAAAACAGGCAGAAAAAUGAGUAUCCAUGACAGAAGAAAAGGAGUAAUAUGCUGCUGGAGUCUGGCACGGGUAACCUGCACAGACAGAGGGAAAUGAUCUUGGCAGGAUUGGCUGAUGUUCCAGAUCCUGUAGCAUCUCCAAGAGAACUCAAGAGAGCAAGACAUGGCCUCUGGUGUAGGAAAAUAAGGAGACCCAGUUUCCAGCACGGGAUGCUUAGUCCCAGAAAUAAGGAGAUUAAAGGAAGAAAGUCUGGUCUGAGAAAGCACAAAUGGAGUAAGUACUUCUACUGAAAGGGAAACAAGAUGACAACUCUUGAGCACUGGCUUCUUAGAUUCCCAGUUAACUGAUUAUAAGGACCCUCCUAGCCAGGUCUGAGGCUUUGCUCCUGGGCCAGGCAGGUCUGCCUGACUUCAUCUUCUUUGGGGUUAGGUUCUCCCCAAAGACUCCUGGGCUCUUGAUUCCUCUGGUUGCUCCUCUGGAAUUCUUCAAUGUGUUGGCAUCCUAGAUGGGGACAUGACUCGGACUCAUGCUGGGACCUCUACAGAACUGCACACCAACAGUGGUGAUAUAUUGUGGAGUAUGCUUUAAAGGAGAAGGAAAGGUGCGACAGGGAACAUGCAGAGAAGAGCACCUAAGGUGACGUGAGAUGCAGCUUGACAGAUGAAUAGGAGUACUUCAGGAGUACAUCUUCUGAGGCUGGGGGUGCAGUCUCCGAAGCCCACUGAGGCAGGAGGGAGCUCAGUGUGUGAUGGGAAAAGACUAUAUCAACAGAGAGGGCAUGCAAACAUGCUGCAGGGACUAGAUAAUGAAGGGUCUUGUAUUCCAUACUCAGGAGUCAGGCAUUUUAUCCUAUAGCUCAUAGGCUGCCACUGGAGGAUUUUAAGUAGUGAAUACCAUUUUGUAAUCUACUCACCCUAUAUUUCCUAUUAAUCUGUGAAUUCCCUGAAGGCAAAUGUUUGAUUUUGAGUUGUCUUGGUGGUUGCCUCCUCCAGUGCCCAUUAUAGUCCCUUAUUUAUAAUGAUAGCUAAUUUUUCAUCAGGUGCUUGUUACGAGUCUGACACUGUGCUAAAUGCUUUACAUGGUGUAUUAGUUAGGGUUCUCCAGAGAAACAGAGCCAAUAGGAAGAGCGUGUGUGCGUAUGCGUAUGGAGGCUGAGAAGUCCCGAGAUCUGCAGUUGGCAAGCUGGAGACCAUGGAGAGACCAUGUGUUGCUCCAGCCCUAGUCUGAAAGUCUGAGAACCAGGUGAGCUAAUGGUACAACCUCCAGUCUGAAAGCUGGCAGGCUUGAGAACCGAGAAUAGCUGAUGUUUCAGUCCAAGUCUGAAGGCCAGAAAAGAUCCAUGUCCCAGGUUUUUGCGGGCAGGCAGGAGGAGUUCUAGAAGGGUCAGCCUUUUUUCUAUCAGGCCUUCAACUGAUUAGAUGAGGGCCACCCACAUUAGGGAGUGCAAUAUACUUUAUUCAGUCUACUGAUUCAAUUGUUAGUCUCAUCCAAAAACACCCUCACAGAUAUACCCAGAAUAAUGUUUGGUGAAAUAUCUGGGUGCCUCUCCAUCUCUCACCAUCAUGGCCAAUCAAGUUGAUAUAUAAAAUUAGUCAUGACACAUGGAUUGUAUAAUUUAACUUACACAAUGAUCCUGCAAGGUUAUUUCUGUUUUCAUUCCUGUU